UUACAAAAUAAAAUAUUAUUAGAGAUCCAUUCAACUACAGAUUGUUAGGAUUUUUAUAAAGAUGAUCCAAUUAAUCAUAUUCAGAUAUAUAUUUAUUAUAAAUAAAUGUCAAUUCCGAUAGAAAUAAGACCUUUCGAUAUAAUAUAUUUUAUUCUUUUUUAUUUAUUUAAAUUAAAUAAAAUCAUAAUCAGACUUUUAUAUAAAGAAGUACUCUCAUCUUCUCACAUGAAUUCUGAUAACGUUCAAAUUACAGUUUGACUUUUCGCUUCUGUAUAUUAAUUAAAAAAAUUUUCCCUAUGACACUCUAUAAGCUAUUUUAUAAUUCUGAAUAUUGAUAUAUAUUUAGGAGUGAGGCUACUAUGCUAUCGGAAGCACGGAGCCUUCCGUGCUUCCAGCUCGUUUUCGAUGUUACGACUUUCGAAUCGUCGAUCAGCUCCGUUAAACUUGAUCUAGAGUAUUUGAAGUAGCUAGAAAAUAAAUUUUAUGAUUUUACGAUAUCAUUUGCCUAGUGAACGAAGGGCCUCAAAAUCAACGGCUGAAAAUAAAAAUCUUAUAAAAUGUAACAAUAUGAUAUUAAAAUUUUAAAUCAAAAUAUUGAUCUUGUUUUAUAUAGUAUAAAGAAUUUUCUAUCAAAAUUUCACGUGAUUUGGAUAUUUCUACACCGUUAAACUUGCAAACAGCUAACUACGGCCAUUGAAAUUUGUUGAUUUUGAGCGCAUUCGAUCACUAGGCAAAUGAUAUCGAAAAAUAAUAAAAUUUAUUUUCUAGGUACUCCAAAUACUCUGGAUCAAGUUUAACGGAGUCGAUCGACGAUUCGAAAGUUGCAACAUCGAAAACAAGCUGGAAGCACGGAAGGCUCCGUGCUUCCGAUAGCAUAGUAGCCUCACUCUAUAUUUAGUUCUAUUAUCUUUACAUGUAAUAUAGAUCUAAGA
rnacentral:lncRNA from 1 species